rnacentral:rRNA from 1 species
GAUGAACGCUGGCGGCGUGCCUAAUACAUGCAAGUCGAGCGAAUGGAUUGAGAGCUUGCUCUUAUGAAGUUAGCGGCGGACGGGUGAGUAACACGUGGGUAACCUGCCCAUAAGACUAGGAUAACUCCGGGAAACCGGGGCUAAUACCGGAUAACAUUUUGAACCGCAUGGUUCGAAAUUGAAAGGCGGCUUCGGCUGUCACUUAUGGAUGGACCCGGGUCGCAUUAGCUAGUUGGUGGGGUAACGGCUCACCAAGGCAACGAUGCGUAGCCGACCUGAGAGGGUGAUCGGCCACACUGGGACUGAGACACGGCCCCGACUCCUACGGGAGGCAGCAGUAGGGAAUCUUCCGCAAUGGACGAAAGUCUGACGGAGCAACGCCGCGUGAGUGAUGAAGGCUUUCGGAUCGUAAAACUCUGUUGUUAGGGAAGAACAAGUGCUAGUUGAAUAAGCUGGCACCUUGACGGUACCUAACCAGAAAGCCACGGCUAACUACGUGCCAGCCGCCGCCGUAA